rnacentral:lncRNA from 1 species
GUUCGGCCGACUCCAAGCAUCAAAACCAAAACCGAAGGCACGAGGAGCUAGAGGAGCUUGCAGCGCACUCACCCACGGCCUUAUUUCGGCCGGAGAGAUCCCGGAGUAGUGUGGCCGCGUGGGAAGAUAGGGAGAGAGUCGGCGAGAUCCAAAACCGGGUGGGGAAGACCGCUAGGGCUUGGUUUUUUUGCGGCUCGGGUGGAAAACGAGGCGCGGGGCAUCACUAGGAGCUUUAUAAGGCUCGGUUUGAUCUCGACAUGCCAAAUCCCGGGAGAAUCGGGAUUUUGGUUGGCGCCGGAGUCCGACUCGGCUCCGUCUCGUGAAGAAGGAAGGAGGAGAGCUGACGUGUGGGGCCGGUGUGGCAGUGACUGAGAGGGGCGGAGGAGGGGGAAGCGUGCGCGCAGGGAGCUGGGCCGGUUGGGCCGCGCGCUAGGGGAAGGGGAAAACUGCUGGGCCUCGGCUUUUGGCCCAGGCCGAGGUGAGGGAAGUGUAUUUCUCUUUUUUUUUAUUAUUAUUAUUUUCCAAAGCCUUUUCCAAAUAGAGUUUUGAAAGCAAUACAAUUAAAAUAAAACCAGAUCAAACAGUACAAAAAUAACUAUGCUUCAGCAUGAAUGCAAAAUCAUGUUUCUGAACUUAUGAUGAGUUUUAAUUUUCACAAAAUUAUUUGUUUGCUAGAUUCAAAUGCCCACAAAAAUACUUAUUUAAUUUGAAUUAAAUCCUAUAAAUUGAAAAUCAGUAUUUCGGGUGUUACAAUUUGUCCACUAAUGCUGCUAACCU